rnacentral:rRNA from 1 species
UCNNUGGGGGAACCCUGAUGCAGCGACGCCGCGUGAGCGAUGAAGCCCCUCGGGGUGUAAAGCUCUUUCGGCAGGGAAGAUGAUGACGGUACCUGCAGAAGCAGCUGCGGCUAACUACGUGCCAGCAGCCGCGGUAAUACGUAGGCAGCAAGCGUUGUUCGGAGUUACUGGGCGUAAAGGGUGUGUAGGCGGUCUUUUAAGUUUGGUGUGAAAUCUCCCGGCUCAACUGGGAGGGUGCGCCGAAUACUGAAAGACUAGAGUGCGGGAGAGGAUAGUGGAAUUCCUGGUGUAGCGGUGAAAUGCGUAGAUAUCAGGAGGAACACCGGUGGUGUAGACGGCUAUCUGGACCGUAACUGACGCUGAGACACGAAAGCGUGGGUAGCAAACAGGAUUAGAUACCCUGGUAGUCCACGCCCUAAACGAUGCAUAUUUGGUGUGGGCAGUUCAGUCUGUCCGUGCCGGAGCUAACGCGUUAAAUAUGCCGCCUGGGGAGUACAGUCGCAAGGCUGAAACUCAAAAAAAUUGACGGA